GGACGAACGCUGGCGGCGUGCCUAAUACAUGCAAGUCGAGCGAGGAGCUUUUAGCUCCUAGCGGCGAACGGGUGAGUAACACGUGGGCAACCUGCCCGUAAGACUGGGAUAACUUCGGGAAACCGGAGCUAAUACCGGAUAAUCUUGAUCUUCGCAUGAAGGACAAGUAAAAGAUUUAUCACUUACGGAUGGGCCCGCGGUGCAUUAGCUUGUUGGUGGGGUAAUGGCCUACCAAGGCGACGAUGCAUAGCCGACCUGAGAGGGUGACCGGCCACACUGGGACUGAGACACGGCCCAGACUCCUACGGGAGGCAGCAGUAGGGAAUUUUCCGCAAUGGGCGAAAGCCUGACGGAGCAACGCCGCGUGAAUGAUGACGGCCUUCGGGUUGUAAAAUUCUGUUCUAAGGGAAGAAGUUCUGACGGUACCUUAGGAGAAAGCCACGGCUAACUACGU
rnacentral:rRNA from 2 species